rnacentral:tRNA from 1 species
GGCCCAGUGGUCUAGGGGUAUGAUUCUCGCUUCGGGUGCGAGAGGUCCCGGGUUCAAAUCCCGGCUGGGCCC